rnacentral:rRNA from 1 species
UACGUAGGGUCCAAGCAUUAUCCGGAUUGACUGGGUGUAAAGAGUUGCGUAGGUGGCAGGGUAAGUAGAUAGUGAAAUCUGGUGGCUCAACCAUUCAGACUAUUAUCUAAACUGCUCCGCUCGAGAGCGUUAGGGGUAGCUGGAAUUUCUAGUGUAGGAGUGAAAUCCGUAGAUAUUAGAAAGAACACCGAUAGCGUAGGCAGGCUACUGGGACGUUUCUGACACUAAGGCACGAAAGCGUGGGGAGCAA